rnacentral:rRNA from 1 species
AUGGGUAACGGUUCAAGUGCUUCUGUUCAUGGUGUUGGCACGGUCGAUCUGAAGUUUACUUCGGGGAAGAUCGUGCGGCUGAAGAACGUGCAUUAUGUCCCCUUCGUCAAUAAAAAUCUUGUUAGCGGAUCUCUUCUGUGUAGAGAUGGCUACAAGCUUGUCUUUGAGUCGAAUAAAUUUGUAAUAUCCAAGUAUGGAACCUUUGUGGGUAAAGGCUAUGAGUCAGGAGGCCUGUUUCGUUUAUCCUUAUCAGACGUUUUCAAUAAAGUUGUUAAUCAUAUUUGCAACAAUAGUGAAUAA